rnacentral:tRNA from 1 species
GCACGCGUAGCUCAGGGGUAGAGCGCUUCGUUCACAUCGAAGAAGUCCGUGGUUCAAAUCCACGCGCGUGCA